rnacentral:rRNA from 1 species
UACGUAGAGUGCAAACGUUGUUCGGAAUCACUGGGCAUAAAGAGUUCGUAGGCUGCGCGGCAAGUCAGUCGUGAAAUCCCCUGGCUCAACCAGGGAACUGCUGCUGAUACUGCCGUGCUCGAGUGCGGGAGGGGAGAGUGGAACUUCCAGUGGAGCGGUGAAAUGCGUAGAUAUUGGAAGGAACGCCGGUGGCGAAAGCGACUCUCUGGUCCGCUUCUGACGCUGAGGAACGAAAGCUAGGGUAGCGAACGGG